CGAACGCUGGCGGCAUGCCUAACACAUGCAAGUCGAACGAACCCUUCGGGGCUAGUGGCGCACGGGUGCGUAACACGUGGGAAUCUGCCUUUUGCUUCGGAAUAACAGUUAGAAAUGACUGCUAAUACCGGAUAAUGUCGUAAGACCAAAGAUUUAUCGGCAAAAGAUGAGCCCGCGUAGGAUUAGCUAGUUGGUGGGGUAAAGGCCUACCAAGGCGACGAUCCUUAGCUGGUCUGAGAGGAUGAUCAGCCACACUGGGACUGAGACACGGCCCAGACUCCUACGGGAGGCAGCAGUGGGGAAUAUUGGACAAUGGGCGAAAGCCUGAUCCAGCAAUGCCGCGUGAGUGAUGAAGGCCUUAGGGUUGUAAAGCUCUUUUACCAGGGAUGAUAAUGGCAGUACCUGGAGAAUAAGCUCCGGCUAACUCCGUGCCAGCAGCCGCGGUAAUCUGAUGGCGCGAGG
rnacentral:rRNA from 1 species